ensembl:lncRNA
UAGUGAAACUUGGUUGGAUGAAGAAGAGGCAGAAAAGAGGAAGAUGUGUCACAGAGAGAGAAAACGGAAUAUGAAAGGAUUUUGAAGAGGGAAGAGUGUGGGCCUUGGAAUGGGGACUUGGUGUACCUGGAGAGCGGGAUGCAAGAAAACUAGGGUGGAUGAGUUGUUCUGAACAUAUAUUCAUUUUGUCCCAUCUACAAGGAUUUUAGCAAAUGUAGAAACAACCAAUGUGCUGAAAAAUGACCUGAAAGGCCUUAUAAUGAUGCAGGCUUUUAUGAAUAUAAAAGAGAGCAGUUUUCCUUAAUUAAUAUUUGAUCUGUUCUGGGUCUCAAGGAAAGUUACGUGUAUAUACAAUUCAUUUUUUUCCCUCUCUCACCCAUCUCUACUCUUUCUCCAUGCUUACAGCCGGUAGCUGGAAACCCAGUGCUCAAGCUUGUCUAUUUCUUCUUGGACUUGAUGCUACACUGAUUUAUUAUUUAGGUUAGCUACCUAAUGCUUUGCUAGAAACUUGCCCUCUCACCAUUGUCGUUGAGUGGAUUUUUUUUUAAGGCUGCAGCCAAUUUACAGUAAUUAAUGUGCUGAGGACAGCAGCUGUAGCAGUCAUUAAUUCCUUAAUCUUGGAGUAGAGAGAAAUGGAUUAGUUAGAGAUAAAUAUAGCUUAUGGCAUUUUCUCCUGAGGACAAACCCUUUAAAAACAGUGCGUUUCUGCUGCAGUGUGGGGGUGGGACGAAGAUGAGAGCUCUUUUUCUUUUCCUUGGGGAAUUAUUUUUGCAAGAAGGAAGGAGUGGGGUGAGGUGAAAUGGAGGUUCAUUUAAAAUGAAAUAAAAAGGCUGACCCUGGACACCAUGGAGCCUUUGGCCUUCACUCCCAGGACCCCGAGACCUCCGGGUGAAGAUUCAGCACUGGAGCUUCUAUCAGUGUUCCCUGUGCACGUCGAAUCUCUGCUUAGGAAGCCAAGCUGGGGAAGGAGAGAGGAAGAAACAACCCAGGUUCUGUUCAGUGAGCCAUUUGUUUUAAGAUGGGAUGAGAGGUUGCUCAAAGAUGUUAAUGGAAAUCUUUGCAAACACAGGCUUAAAGUUUCUUCAAUCCAGAGAGUCACUCAGCCAUAAAUAGGUGUGGGUUAUUUAGAUGCUUCCAAAGGCUACUUGAAAAUUGCUAUUUUUCCACAAAGAAGUGAGCUGUUUAUUGCUUCAAAAACGUGCCUCAGAGUGAAUGCUUUCCUUCAUCUGAGAAGGGAAAAAUACUGAAAUACAUGGAAUGCUGGGAAAAGGUUGAUUGGAGAGCAGAGAGGUGUCUGGGGCUAGAGGUUUAGGAUGGCUGCAGAACGUAUGCUUCCCUCAAGCCUUAGAAUUGAGGAAAAAGCAGGCGAUAUUGUCUUCACGGGGUAUCAGCAAGUGUUGGUCUCUUACUGGGUCAGAUGCAAGGCCACAGUAAGGUGGUCUGUGGGGCAGAGAAGGGGCCUUUGUAGAAGAGUUGGGUUUCUGUAACGGAGACCUGGAGGCUGAGGAGUAACAAUGCCUCUGACUUCCAGCAGGCUGCGGAAAGCAUGGCGCACCCUGUUGAUGAAGACGAUGGAGUUUUCCUUCUCUUCUUCCGAAGCCCUGAGGACUGAGACCAAAUGGAAUCACGUAGUGUUGUUAUUUGUACACUAACUGAAAAAUUUAUGACUCUUAGUAAAAAUAUAGACGAAUAUGUUGUCUGCUGAGAACUGAAGAUAAGAAAUAAACCAAGUUAUUGGCAACAUUUCCCACGGGUUCCACUUGAGCGAGAAUGAAUCAUUCAUUGGAUGUUCGUGGCGACACCACCAACCUUGCUGCUUUUAGAAACUGGGAAAAAAAAGUCAGUUGUUUGUUAUACUGUAGCAGAAGGGAAAAAGAAAGCAAAUUAAUUUAGAAUUCACACAAUGCCCAAGUCCUCCUUUAGGACGGCUUAGAUUCAUGAGUCUGAGGAUAGGCUGUUCUGACUUGAUCCCUGUGAUCUUUUGAAUCUGUUGGAGGAUACUCCUGCUUAGGCAGGCUGGUUUCAGGUCCCGUAUUUCAUCGUGUUUUGCCCCCAAAGCCUGACUCAACUUGUAGGUUUUUAUGCAGAGUAGUUUGUUUACAACCCCAUUUAAUAAAGUAGGCUGUAAAUUUGUCCCAUUUUUACCUUGUAAACAGGCAAUAUAGAAUAGUACAAUACUAACAGUAUAAGGGUUUCAUUGGAAUUCAGUUUUGAUCGUUAAAAUGGAUGGAAGAUAAACUGCUUAGCAGCUCCUCACAACCACGUAAAUUGGAUGUCCAACAGUGCAAAACUCCAAAAUGCAUCUUUUAAAGCUGUGAAAAGAAGCAUUAGAAGCAGAACUUAGAAUUUGUUUCAAUUGAGUUGACAGUAAUCCCAGACACAGGAAUUGUCCUAGAUGCAUCUAGAAGAAGUUGGGUCAUCUCUGCAGAAGUCUUGGCUGGCUGAAGUCCCUUAAUCUGGUUACUUGGCCCAAGGGACAUGUAGUUACUUUAGAGCUGCUUCUGUCUUUUUCCACCUCCCGUGUGUGCUCAGCCAAGUUUCCAGCGCCUUCUUGAGGCCCCUGCAAACUCUUUAGUGCCUGCUGCUGCUGUCCCAUUUUGUCCUCACAUCGCUAUGUUAACUGCCUCAGCAUCCCACUUCAUUCAUUUGUUUGGAGAGACCGUAUCGUGUAGAAGAGGGAGCUAGCUUCCCACGGCGCUUCAGAUGAGCACAGGCCCUGGAGCCAGGCAUACCUGAUCAGAGAGUCAGGUCUGACUGAAGGACCGGAACCAUAGCAUCUAUGGUUGUCAGUCACCAGCAGCUGGGAGAACUCUCUGGCAAAGAUGCAGACAUGGAAUUCUUCAGAGAAGCCUGAUUGGCUGGCUGCUUACCGUCAGGUAAGGAACAACGUCUUAUAAACACAGCAUUCCUCCUCUUACUGCCUUAAGAAAGCCACUGUUAAACUCCACAGUUUUGGUGUCAGUUGUGAGAUGUAUCUGCUGUUACUCCUGCUGAGAAAGCUGCUUAAUCUCUGGAUUCAACCUCAGACUCCAUGAAGAAAGAAGUGAUUUAAGGUUUAAGAGUGUCCACAGUGGCAUUCAGGCGUCAAACCAUCUCUCUGGGUUGACUUACCUCG